GCGGGUGUGGCGGAAUGGUAGACGCCGGGGACUUAAAAUCCCCUGAUCUCUGAUCGUGCGGGUUCGAGUCCCGCCACCCGCACCA
rnacentral:tRNA from 1 species